GUACGAAUAUACGAUCAUAUUUCUUAAAAAUCCAACAUUUCCAGAACAGUUAUCAAAAUGGUCGUUUUUCUGCAGAUUUUCAUAUUAUAUGCAUUUUAUCUAAAAUGGACUGUUUGUGCAAAAGAAGGAGUAUGCAAUAAAGGAGAUUCAAAGUACGAUUGAUGUAAUUAAUACAAAAUAUUGUUGUUCCGGUUACAGAAAAAUAGAGGGUGAAUGCACUGAAUGUGUUGGUUUCUUCGGAGACAAUUGCGAUAAACAAUGUGUGAAUGGAUAUUUCGGAAAAUCGUGUAGAGAGGCUUGCAACUGUACUAAAUCAGAAACCUGUAAUCAGUACGUCGGAUGCAUCGAAACCAAAAGUAAAAGUAAGUUUAGCAUGUGGUUUGACAAAUUAGAAAAAAAGACAUCCCUAUUGGUCCAUGCAAAGAUUUGAAUGUUUGUUCGCUUCAUCAUUGUUGAACAAACAAGAGAGGUACACACAUGUAAGUACCCUUCAUGCUAUAUACAAAAUGUAAUCACAAAAUCGAUCUUACAAAGGACUAAAUAUCGUGAAGCCCUAACAUUACAGCCAAGCUUCCCCUCGACUGAUAUAAAAUAUUAUAUCAAAUUUUGAUUACAUUGUGAUAUUGAUAUGAUUUCUAUGAAUUUCGCUUAAAAUAACCUGUAUUUUUCCAUUAAUGAGUUAGAUUCCAAAAACGCACAAACUACGACAGACAACAAAGGACCAUGCCCGUUUGUUAGUCUAAUGGUUCCUGCAAUAACGACUUUGUUGAUUCUAAGUUUCAUCAUGUGUUUUAUGAUUUGCUUAUAUAGGUAAGUAUGCAAAUCUAAGAAUGAAUACUUAGGAGUAUAACUUUGUAACACACGCAAAUAUUUUCAACUUGUUAAGUUCGUUUUCCUAACUAUUUUUCAAGAAUACGAAGAGAAGGAAAGUAUAAAGUGGACAAAGCCAUGAAAAUGAAGUCAAUCCCACAGAAAAAGUCACAAAACAUUCAGUUGAUUCGUUACACGAGCAAUGUACACGAAUAUAGACAAUACAGUGACAUCGAUAUUACGAAAUACACAUAUAAUAGAGAAUUUGAAAAGCAUGUGACACAUGACUACAGUCGAAUCAUAUUCCCUAAAUUUACAUCAGUGGAUAUUCCAGCAGACCAGUACAGUACGACCAUAAUACGUAAUCCAUAUGUAUUGGUGGAUGGAGAAAGUGAAAGCAGCACAGACACUUCUGAUGGAGGAAAUAUUAAAAAAAGACAUCCCUCCAAUGACGAACGUAGUGGAAAAAACUCGAGACCUUAUAGUGUAGUUCACCCGAAUGGAUUUGAUUUUACCAUCUAGUUAUCUCUAUCAGGACCAGAAAGUUUAUGAUUAGACGAAGUCAGAGUUAUACAACUUCAUUAUUCAGUGUCGUUUCAAAUCGUUUCAAUCAUAUAUUUUUAAAGAAAUUGCAUUGGUCGAUUUUUGUGCAUUUGUAUACAUUGAAUGAAUACUUAUGAUUUCUUUCCUUGCAUUGUGAGGACUUUUAAGCAACAUGUAUAUGAUUUAUACCAAUUUUACUAACUUUCAUUUAAAUCCACGUUGCUGGUAUUUUUGAAUGAUGAAUGUUUUAAUUCUAGAAAGAAUUAAAUGUCUAGUAUCUGUUCUAGUCACUAAGGACUUGGGAGUGUGCUCGAGGGACUCUCCUCAAAUGCCUAUUGCACAAAGUAGAUUGGUGUAAAGUAUCUAGUGUGUUUACUAUAUUAAAUGAAUUAUACACUUA